GGGACACGUGGUAUCCUGUCUGAAUAUGGGGGGACCAUCCUCCAAGGCUAAAUACUCCUGACUGACCGAUAGUGAACCAGUACCGUGAGGGAAAGGCGAAAAGAACCCCGGCGAGGGGAGUGAAAAAGAACCUGAAACCGUGUACGUACAAGCAGUGGGAGCACGCUUAGGCGUGUGACUGCGUACCUUUUGUAUAAUGGGUCAGCGACUUAUAUUCUGUAGCAAGGUUAACCGAAUAGGGGAGCCGAAGGGAAACCGAGUCUUAACUGGGCGUUAAGUUGCAGGGUAUAGACCCGAAACCCGGUGAUCUAGCCAUGGGCAGGUUGAAGGUUGGGUAACACUAACUGGAGGACCGAACCGACUAAUGUUGAAAAAUUAGCGGAUGACUUGUGGCUGGGGGUGAAAGGCCAAUCAAACCGGGAGAUAGCUGGUUCUCCCCGAAAGCUAUUUAGGUAGCGCCUCGUGAAUUCAUCUCCGGGGGUAGAGCACUGUUUCGGCAAGGGGGUCAUCCCGACUUACCAACCCGAUGCAAACUGCGAAUACCGGAGAAUGUUAUCACGGGAGACACACGGCGGGUGCUAACGUCCGUCGUGAAGAGGGAAACAACCCAGACCGCCAGCUAAGGUCCCAAAGUCAUGGUUAAGUGGGAAACGAUGUGGGAAGGCCCAGACAGCCAGGAUGUUGGCUUAGAAGCAGCCAUCAUUUAAAGAAAGCGUAAUAGCUCACUGGUCGAGUCGGCCUGCGCGGAAGAUGUAACGGGGCUAAACCAUGCACCGAAGCUGCGGCAGCGACGCUGAUGCGUUGUUGGGUAGGGGAGCGUUCUGUAAGCCUGCGAAGGUGUGCUGUGAGGCAUGCUGGAGGUAUCAGAAGUGCGAAUGCUGACAUAAGUAACGAUAAAGCGGGUGAAAAGCCCGCUCGCCGGAAGACCAAGGGUUCCUGUCCAACGUUAAUCGGGGCAGGGUGAGUCGACCCCUAAGGCGAGGCCGAAAGGCGUAGUCGAUGGGAAACAGGUUAAUAUUCCUGUACUUGGUGUUACUGCGAAGGGGGGACGGAGAAGGCUAUGUUGGCCGGGCGACGGUUGUCCCGGUUUAAGCGUGUAGGCUGGUUUUCCAGGCAAAUCCGGAAAAUCAAGGCUGAGGCGUGAUGACGAGGCACUACGGUGCUGAAGCAACAAAUGCCCUGCUUCCAGGAAAAGCCUCUAAGCAUCAGGUAACAUCAAAUCGUACCCCAAACCGACACAGGUGGUCAGGUAGAGAAUACCAAGGCGCUUGAGAGAACUCGGGUGAAGGAACUAGGCAAAAUGGUGCCGUAACUUCGGGAGAAGGCACGCUGAUAUGUAGGUGAAGCGACUUGCUCGUGGAGCUGAAAUCAGUCGAAGAUACCAGCUGGCUGCAACUGUUUAUUAAAAACACAGCACUGUGCAAACACGAAAGUGGACGUAUACGGUGUGACGCCUGCCCGGUGCCGGAAGGUUAAUUGAUGGGGUUAGCGCAAGCGAAGCUCUUGAUCGAAGCCCCGGUAAACGGCGGCCGUAACUAUAACGGUCCUAAGGUAGCGAAAUUCCUUGUCGGGUAAGUUCCGACCUGCACGAAUGGCGUAAUGAUGGCCAGGCUGUCUCCACCCGAGACUCAGUGAAAUUGAACUCGCUGUGAAGAUGCAGUGUACCCGCGGCAAGACGGAAAGACCCCGUGAACCUUUACUAUAGCUUGACACUGAACAUUGAGCCUUGAUGUGUAGGAUAGGUGGGAGGCUUUGAAGUGUGGACGCCAGUCUGCAUGGAGCCGACCUUGAAAUACCACCCUUUAAUGUUUGAUGUUCUAACGUUGACCCGUAAUCCGGGUUGCGGACAGUGUCUGGUGGGUAGUUUGACUGGGGCGGUCUCCUCCUAAAGAGUAACGGAGGAGCACGAAGGUUGGCUAAUCCUGGUCGGACAUCAGGAGGUUAGUGCAAUGGCAUAAGCCAGCUUGACUGCGAGCGUGACGGCGCGAGCAGGUGCGAAAGCAGGUCAUAGUGAUCCGGUGGUUCUGAAUGGAAGGGCCAUCGCUCAACGGAUAAAAGGUACUCCGGGGAUAACAGGCUGAUACCGCCCAAGAGUUCAUAUCGACGGCGGUGUUUGGCACCUCGAUGUCGGCUCAUCACAUCCUGGGGCUGAAGUAGGUCCCAAGGGUAUGGCUGUUCGCCAUUUAAAGUGGUACGCGAGCUGGGUUUAGAACGUCGUGAGACAGUUCGGUCCCUA
rnacentral:rRNA from 1 species